rnacentral:rRNA from 1 species
UACGGAGGGUGCAAGCGUUAAUCGGAAUUACUGGGCGUAAAGCGUGCGUAGGCGGUUCGUUAAGUCUGCUGUGAAAGCCCCGGGCUCAACCUGGGAAUGGCAGUGGAUACUGGCGAGCUAGAGUGUGAUAGAGGAUGGUGGAAUUCCCGGUGUAGCGGUGAAAUGCGUAGAGAUGGGGGAGAACACUCGUGGCGAAGGCGGCCAGCUAGACCAGUUCUGACACUGAGGCGCGACAGCGUGGGGAGCAAACAGG